rnacentral:rRNA from 1 species
AUUGAACGCUGGCGGCAUGCCUUACACAUGCAAGUCGAACGGUAACAGCACUUCGGUGGCUGACGAGUGGCGAACGGGUGAGUAAUACAUCGGAACGUGCCCGAGAGUGGGGGAUAACGCAGCGAAAGCUGUGCUAAUACCGCAUACGAUCUACGGAUGAAAGCAGGGGAUUCGCAAGGACCUUGCGCUCAUGGAGCGGCCGAUGGCAGAUUAGGUAGUUGGUGGGAUAAAAGCUUACCAAGCCGACGAUCUGUAGCUGGUCUGAGAGGACGACCAGCCACACUGGGACUGAGACACGGCCCAGACUCCUACGGGAGGCAGCAGUGGGGAAUUUUGGACAAUGGGCGAAAGCCUGAUCCAGCCAUGCCGCGUGCAGGAUGAAGGCCUUCGGGUUGUAACGUAGCUUUGUUACGGUAACGAAAAGGAAUACUCUUCUAAUAAAGGGGUACCGAAGUGACGGUACCGUAAGAA